UUGUGCAAGCUUGCAAAGUGAGGCACCCGGUAAAUCCGUUUUCAGGGACUUAGUUGUUUUCACUAAGUUUGAGAUAUUUUAGUUCAUGAUGCCAUAUGUUCAGCUUGUUUCUUAGUGAUCCGUGCCUCUUUUGAGGAUGAUCAGUAAAGGAGUUUUGUUAAUCAUGUUAUGCUCUAUCCAUCCAUGUCUUUGUUUGCAAUUUUGGAGCACCGUAGCUUGUGUCAAUCGAGUUCUACUUUUGCUUCGUGGUGAAUCUGGGCAGAUCGUCAACUCGUUUGCGAUUUUGCCGAUGUUAUUGUAGUUGAUCCGUGCAUGCUAUGCCAUUGUUCUUGCCAUGUCUAGCUUGUAUUUUGUGCCUUCUUAAUGAAUGUAUGCUUGCCUUGCUGUGACUUGCACCAUGGUGAGUGCAUCGAGCUCGUUUACAUGCCUUUGUGAGUUAUAUUUCAGCGUGCCUCAGUUUUCACUAAGUCUGAAAACUGAUUGUGUUUUAUGCUAUGUUCGUGUGCCCGUUAGUAUAUUUUGUGAUCCAUUUUGGCCUUAGGUCACUUUGAGACUUUUGUUAAGCUUGUUGAGUAGCUCCAUGCCAUGUUCUUACUUGUCUUAAUCAGGUCAUGUAUCAUGUUGUUUUGCUGCUCCGAAGAGGGCUUCGUGAUCUGAAAUUUCAGACAAGUGUUAAUUUCACUAAGUCUGGAAUCUGUUUUGCAUUUGCGUUUUUGCCAUGCUUGUUUGAACCCCAUAAUGGAUGAAUUAGCCGUGGCUCAGUGCUAGUCUUUUGUUAAGCAUCUUGUGUGCAUCCCUGCCAUGUAUUUUGUUGUCUUGUUUGGUGGCUGUAGCAUGUUCAUUUCGUUGCAUCUAGAUGCCUACUUGCUGUAAAUUGCAGACCGGUGUCAUCUUAAAACGCUUGCCAUUUUCAAACCGUAACUCCGAUUCCAAUGAUUUUUAUAUCGUUUUCAAGCGGUUUCAUCUUAUCUUUCCAGUAGCACCCUUGAAAUUCUAAGUUGGGGCCAGGUUCAUGCAUUUCAUGUCAUAUCUUGCAUUUUGCAUCCCGCAUCGCAUCCCGCAUAGCAUAUAAUCAUUUCAUCAUAUUGCUUGGUCUUGCACGUGGUUGAUUGUAUCCUUGUUGCUUGUUUGUCUUGUUGGGUAGAACCGGGAGACGAGUUCGCUACCGAGGAGCCCGUUGAGUUUGCUUGUGAGGAUCCAGUCAACUCUGACAACUGUGCAGGCAAGAUGAUCAUACCCUCGAAAUCACUACUAUCUUUGCUAUGCUAGUUUGCUCGCUCUUGCUAUGCCAAUGCUACGAUGCAUAUCUUUUGCUUGUCAGCCUCCCAAUUGCCAUGUCAAACCUCUAACCCACCUUGUCCUAGCAAACCGUUGAUUGACUAUGAUACCGCUUUGCUCAGCCCCUCUUAUAGCGUUGCUAGUUGCAGAUGAAGAUUGGAGGCCGUUCCUUGUUGGAACAUCUUUUAUUUACUUGUUGGGAUAUCAUUAUAUUGCCAUGUUAUCUUAAUGCAUCUAUAUACUUGGUAAAGGGUGGAAGGCUCGGCCUCUCGCCUAGUGUUUUGUUCCACUCUUGCCGCCCUAGUUUCCGUCAUAUCGGUGUUAUGUUCCCGGAUUUGCGUUCCUUAUGCGGUUGGGUUAUAAUGGGAACCCCUUGAUAUUUCGCCUUGAUUAAAGCUUGUCCAGCAAUGCCCAACCUUAGUUUUACCAUUUGCUACCUAGCCUUUUCUUUCCCUUGGGUUCUGUAGACUCAAGGGUCAUCUUAUUUUAACCCCCCCGGGCCAGUGCUCCUCUGAGUGUUGGUCCAAACCGUCAACCGCCUGUGGGUACCAGGGGCAACUCUGGGCUGGCCUACCGGAAGUUUGGACAAUCUGAGUGUGCCCUGAGAAAGAGAUAUGUGCAGCUCCUAUCGGGAUUUGUCGGCACAUUCGGGCGGUGUUGCUGGUCUUGUUUUAACCUGUCGAAGUGUCUUGAGUUACCGAGAUACCGAGUCUGAUCGGAACAUCUUGGGAGGAGGUCUAUUCCUUCGUUGACCGUGAGAGCUUGUCAUGGGCUAAGUUGGGACUCCCCUGCAGGGAUUGAACUUUCGAAAGCCGUGCCCGCGGUUAUGGGCAGAUGGGAAUUUGUUAAUGUCCGGUUGUAGAUAACUUAAACCUUAAUUAAUUAAAAUGAAUCAACUGAGUGUGUUACCGUGAUGGCCUCUUCUGGGUGGAGUCCGGGAAGUGGACACGGUGUUGGAGUUAUGCUUGCGCAGGUUGUCCUUCUAGAUUCUCGCUCGCGCUUUGCCUCCUCUUCUCGCCCUCUUUUGCGUAUAAGAUAGCCACCAUAUAUGCUAGUCGCUUGCUGCAGCUCCACAUAUAUUUGCCUCAUCCAUUCCUAUAAGCUUAAAUAGUUUUGAUCGCGAGGGUGCGAGAUUGCUGAGUCCCUGCGGCUCACAGAUACUAUAAUUCCAGAUGCAGGUCCGGCUGAUUUCGCUCCAGGUGACGAGUACGAGCUCAAGUGGGAGUUUGACGAGGACUCUCAGCGUUAUUAUGUUUCCUUUCCCGAUGAUCAGUAGUGGUGCCUAGUUGGGGUUCGAUUCAGGGCCUUGUCGCAUGUUGGGUUCUUUUCUAUUUUGGCCGUAGUCGGGCCAUGAGUGUUUGUCUGAUGGAUGUUAUUUAUGUACUUUGAUGUGACGUGGCGAGUGUAAGCCAACUAUGUUCUCCCCCUUUUUAUCAUAUAUUACAUGGGAUGUUGUAAUGAUUGCCUGACUUGUGACAUUGCUUUCAAUGCGGUUAUGUCUCUAAGUCGUGCCUCGACACGUGGGAGCUAUAGCCGCAUCGAGGGCGUUACAGGCACCAAAUAACAAUUAUUUAGG
rnacentral:lncRNA from 1 species